UACGUAGGUGGCAAGCGUUGUCCGGAUUUACUGGGUGUAAAGGGCGUGCAGCCGGAGAGACGAGUCAGAUGUGAAAUCCGCAGGCUCAACCUGCGAACUGCAUUUGAAACUGUUUCCCUUGAGUAUCGGAGAGGUCAUCGGAACUCCUAGUGUAGCGGUGAAAUGCGUAGAUAUUAGGAAGAACACCAGUGGCGAAGGCGGAUGACUGGACGACAACUGACGGUGAGGCGCGAAAGCGUGGGGAGCAAACAGG
rnacentral:rRNA from 1 species